GAGGGUGUAGCUCAGUGGUAGAGAGCAUGCUCAGAAUACACAACAUCCUGGGUUCAAUCCCCAGUACCUCUG
rnacentral:tRNA from 1 species